UACGGUCACAUGACGUUGAAUUAUCGGUUCCCGUACGAUCACAGAAGUUAAGCAACGUCGAGCCGGGUUAGUACCUAGAUAGGUGACCGCUUGAAAAUAAUAGGUGCUGUAA